rnacentral:misc_RNA from 1 species
AAGGUCGUAACAAGGUUUCCCGUAGGUGAACCUGCGGAAGGAUCAUUAAAGAAUACCUGGACUCCGGUCCUCGUCGAGAAAGGUCGUCCCGGGUGCCUCAGUCCCCGGGGUCUUCCCCACUUCCUCCGUUACCUUACCUCUGCUGCUUUGGCUGCAGCUCCUUCCCGGGCGGUUCGGGCUUGGCGUCUGGCCGUACGGCCCGAACGCUACGUGGAUAGUCUAUGUUUGUCUGAGUACGAUAUAAUCGUUUACAA